AUUGAACGCUGGCGGCAGGCCUAACACAUGCAAGUCGAACGAGUGGCGGACGGGUGAGUAAUGUCUGGGAAACUGCCUGAUGGAGGGGGAUAACUACUGGAAACGGUAGCUAAUACCGCAUACCAUCAGAUGUGCCCAGAUGGGAUUAGCUUGGUGGUGGGGUAACGGCUCACCAAGGCGACAAUCCCUAGCUGGUCUGAGAGGAUGACCCGCCAAGCUGGAACGGAUACGCGGUCCAGACUCCUACGGGAUGCAGGAGUGGGGAAUAUUGCACAGUGGGCGCAAGCCUGAUGCAGCCAUGCCGCGUGUAUGAAGAAGGCCUUCGGGUUGUAAAGUACUUUCAGCGGGGAGGCGUUACCCGCAGAAGAAGCACCGGCUAACUCCGAGCCAGCGGCCGCGGUAAUUC
rnacentral:rRNA from 1 species